GGAGAAUCGCCGCUUGCGCCGCGAGAACCGCUGCCUCUUCCGACAGGCCCUACUGGGGCCCGGCCCCGACAAGCCCCCCGCCGACCCGGGCGAGGAGGCGGAGGCCCUGCGCACCCAGCUGGGGCGGCUGCAGGAGAAGCACCGCCGGGCCUUGCGGCAUCUGCGGCGCUGCCGGGCCGCCGGCGGGCCCGAGGCCUCGAGAGCCGAAGAAGGAGAGCUGGAAGAGCUGCUGCUGGAGGAGGACGAGCAGCCGCUGGAUAAGAAGAGCCUGGUGCCGGCCGUGUAGGCGGCCCCGGUGGAGGGGGCGGUGCCUGCUGGUGCUUCGGGCCUUCCCCUCCGCUGCGGGCUAGGGGUGGGUUACGCCCUCUUUGCUCCCGGCUGUGACCCUGUACGGCGCGGGGACUGCCUCAGCUCCCUCAAACGAAACGGACCCUUUCCACCAAAAGCGUGGAGUUGUUCCGGUUUGUUAAUCCUUUUCCCAGAUGUAUACUCAGUUGAUGUGGGAAGCUGGGGCGUAGAGCACAAGAGGAAUCUCUCAGAGCGGAUGUUUGGGAGAAAAGAACCGCGCUUAACAAAACACUUGGUCUCAUGGCAUCCCACAGCGCUGAACUGUGCCUCCUCUAGAGCUGCCCUGGCGCCAUUUUCCAGGAAACAGCAGCCGGCAGAACAGUGAAACCAAACCUAGCACAGAAGGAUUUCUAACAAGGAAAAGACACAGCCUGUCUUGACAGGAGAAAUGCUUCUACUGCCUGAUCAUCUUCAUGGCCCUCCCCUGGACUCAUUCCAACAAGUCCACAUCUGUCAUAUGCUGGAUGCAGCAUUCCAGGUUAUAAUAUUGGGGAGUAUUCCAUUACCACCUCGAGCUGCAAUCCCUUUCUUUCCUUAUGUCAUGACUCAGAAAUAAGUCCCUCCAGGAGGACCUGUUCUUUUAGCCACAUGACUGAUAAGAUCACAGCAUUCUAUUGUGAGAUACUCCGCCCAGAGGGAGGAACCAAACAAUGCCAUCAGGGAUAUAAGUGAGGUUGUGCAGACAGCAAGUAGAUCCCGUUUUCCAAGAGGAACAGCUGAGACCUUCUCUACACUGGACCUCCAAAGGGAAACUACAUCAGUCUACAGGACCACUGCUUAGACAGAACCAUAUCUGCUACAACUGCCCUAGCCAGCAAGUGUCAGGUUGUAUCUCUUACUCUAUCAGUAGUCCUUCUUUUGUGCUAUUGUAUCUAUUUGGUUCUUUGUUCCCUUUUUCCUAAUAAAUUGUACUUCU
rnacentral:lncRNA from 1 species